UACGAAGGGUGCAAACGUUGCUCGGAAUUAUUGGGCGUAAAGCGCACGUAGGCGGCUUUGCAAGUCGAAUGUGAAAUCCCUCGGCUCAACCAAGGAAGUGCAUCCGAAACUGCAGAGCUUGAGUACCAAAGAGGAUCGCGGAAUUCCCGGUGUAGAGGUGAAAUUCGUAGAUAUCGGGAGGAACACCAGUGGCGAAGGCGGCGAUCUGGGUGGAUACUGACGCUGAGGUGCGAAAGCGUGGGGAGCAAACAGG
rnacentral:rRNA from 1 species